rnacentral:rRNA from 1 species
GACGAACGCUGGCGGCGCGCUUAACACAUGCAAGUCGAACGGAAAGGCCUGCUUUCCCUUGUGGAUUGCGGGUACUCGAGUGGCGAACGGGUGAGUAACACGUGAGUGAUCUGCCCCCAACUUGGGUAUAAGCCUGGGAAACUGGGUCUAAUUCCCGAUAGGACUGCAGGGUGGUGCCUGUGGUGGAAAACGAUUUUCUAGUGGUUGGGGAUGAGCUCGCGGCCUAUCAGCUUGUUGGUGGGGUAAUGGCCUACCAAGGCGGCGACGGGUAGCCGGCCUGAGAGAGUGGACGGCCACAUGGGGACUGAGAUACGGCCCAGACUCCUACGGGAGGCAGCAGUGGGGAAUAUUGCACAAUGGGCGGAAGCCUGAGGCAGCGACGCCGCGUGGGGGAUGACGGCCUUCGGGUUGUAAACUCCUUUCGACCGCGAGGAAGCCACCUGGUUGGAAGGGUGGUGACGGUAGUGGUAGAAGAAGCACCGGCUAACUACGUG